AGCCCUACGGGGCGCAGCAGGGAAUCUUCCACAAUGGACGAAAGUCUGAUGGAGCAACGCCGCGUGAGUGAAGAAGGGUUUCGGCUCGUAAAGCUCUGUUGGUAGUGAAGAAAGAUAGAGGGAGUAACUGGCCUUUAUUUGACGGUAAUUACUUAGAAAGUCACGGCUAACUACGUGCCAGCAGCCGCGGUAAUACGUAGGUGGCAAGCGUUGUCCGGAUUUAUUGGGCGUAAAGCGAGUGCAGGCGGUUCAAUAAGGCUGAUGUGAAAGCCUUCGGCUCAACCGGGGAAAUGCAUCAGAAACUG
rnacentral:rRNA from 1 species